rnacentral:rRNA from 1 species
UACGUAGGCAGCGAGCGUUGUUCGGAAUUACUGGGCGUAAAGCGCAUGUAGGCGGCAACGCAAGUCGGGCGUGAAAUCCCACGGCUCAACCGUGGAAGUGCACUCGAAACUGCGUAGCUAGAGUCCUGGAGAGGAAGGUGGAAUGCUUGGUGUAGAGGUGAAAUUCGUAGAUAUCAAGCGGAACACCGGUGGCGAAGGCGGCCUUCCGGACAGUGACUGACGCUGAGAUGCGAAAGCGUGGGGAGCAAACAGG